rnacentral:rRNA from 1 species
UGGGUAACCUGCCUCAAAGAGGGGAAUAGCCUCCCGAAAGGGAGAUUAAUACCGCAUAAUAUGUUUAAGUCGCAUGACUUUAACAUCAAAGGAUUUUCUUUUAAGAAAAUUCCACUUUGAGAUGGACCCGCGGCGCAUUAGCUAGUUGGUGAGGUAACGGCUCACCAAGGCAACGAUGCGUAGCCGACCUGAGAGGGUNAUCGGCCACAUUGGAACUGAGACACGGUCCAGACCUCCCGUAGGGACGG